rnacentral:rRNA from 1 species
CAAGUCGAACGGGAUUUCUUUUGGUAGCAAUACCGAAAGAAGUCUAGUGGCGAACGGGUGCGUAACACGUGGGCAAUCUGCCUUAAAGUGGGGGAUAGCUCGGCGAAAGCCGAAUUAAUACCGCAUGUGAUCAGGGGAGACAUCUUCCCGAAAUCAAAAGUGGCGCAAGCUACUGCUUUUUGAGGAGCCCGCGGCCUAUCAGCUAGUUGGUGAGGUGAUGGCUCACCAAGGCUUUGACGGGUAGCUGGUCUGAGAGGACGACCAGUCACACUGGAACUGAGACACGGUCCAGACACCUACGGGUGGCAGCAGUCGAGAAUUUUUCUCAAUGGGGGAAACCCUGAAGGAGCGACGCCGCGUGGAGGAUGAAGGUCUUCGGGUUGUAAACUCCUGUCAUUUGGGAACAAGUCGUACGUAGUAACUAUACGUGCGUUGAUAGUACCAGAAGAGGAAGGGACGGCUAACUCUGUGCCAGCAGCCGCGGUAAUACAGAGGUCCCAAGCGUUGUUCGGAUUCAUUGGGCGUAAAGGGUGUGUAGGUGGCGCCGUAAGUCGGGUGUGAAAUUUCGGAGCUUAACUCCGAAACUGCAUUCGAUACUGCGGUGCUUGAGGACUGGAGAGGAGACUGGAAUUCAUGGUGUAGCAGUGAAAUGCGUAGAGAUCAUGAGGAAGACCAGUGGCGAAGGCGGGUCUCUGGACAGUUCCUGACACUGAGACACGAAGGCCAGGGGAGCAAACGGGAUUAGAUACCCCGGUAGUCCUGGCAGUAAACGGUGCACGUUUGGUGUGGGAGGAUUCGACCCCUUCUGCGCCGGAGCUAACGCGUUAAACGUGCCGCCUGGGGAGUACGGUCGCAAGAUUAAAACUCAAAGAAAUUGACGGGGGCCCGCACAAGCGGUGGA